UAAUCAUAGUCACAACCUGUCAUCUUCCAUUUCUACACCAUUAAAGACUAUCCCCAACAGGCUGAAUGUAGGAAGGGAAGCUAAUGAAAGAAGCAAACGUAAACUUGCUUUUUCUCCAGGAACUCCAACUUCUCGACAACAGUCCAAGAAACUCUUUGCAUCAUCUUGUACCAGAUCCCCAGAUUCUAGAGCAUUACACUGUUCUUCAAUUAAGGACAAGAAUCUGCCAAAUUCUGAGCCAUCUGGAACACUAAAGAAGUGUCAUAGGAAGAGGCUGUUUGAGCAUGUUGAGUCAUCUAAGGUAUCGUCAAAGCUGAGCACACUUGUCGUUUCUGACCAGCAAGACAACAAUCACCUCAUGCCAGAUGUU